rnacentral:lncRNA from 1 species
CCGACUCAUCCAAUAAUGCGGUGCAUUAUUGUCUUGCAAGCUCCAUAUCCACUCUGCAACAACACACUCAUGCCUUCUUCCUUCUCCAAAUUUUGAAUUUUUAACGGAUUUCAUUUUGUAAACAAACACAAAACAGUGUACCCACUUUUCCACUUUGGUCAUACUGGGCAUCAAGCGAAAUAUAUGGCACUUCCUGCUUUCGCCGCUUCGCACGAAAUAAUUGUUGCAGAUAAUCGUGUUGGCUGUGCUGCCUGCACUCUGCAUAGUUUUAGCGACAAUUUCUAACUCAAUGUUAUCUUGUGUGGCUUGCCGGAAAUUCCACGAAAUCUGUUCUUAGCAUUAGAAUGGACUGUCUUAUGGGUGUUGCUUGACCAGCUCGAUUCUUGGGCCUACGCUUGAUUGCAGCGGUUCCUCUAACAGCAAUCUUUGUUUGCCGUCUCGUGCCUGAAGCGGCGAUGGAUGUUCAAGGAUAUCAGGCAACAUAUUAUGUAUCUAAACCAGUUUGCAUCAGGCUAACAUUAACAUGCUUUCCGUGAGCUGAAGAGCAGUAGCAGCGCCUUAUCCAAUGUAUGCAUUAAAGGGAAAAGCCCAUAUGUAUGUGUGACAAAAUUAUUCCUUUUUAUU